GGCACAGCACAACACUUGUUGUUGUUGUUGUUGUUGUUUUUCCCUAUUGACGUCCACGCCAAUACUGCAUGAGUCACACACAGGAUAUGGACUUCCCGGCCCUGGCGGCUUACGCAAGCUCAUCUGUGGGUCGAUGUUUGACGUGGACCGCCAUCGCGAGCACGGCGGUGUGGUCGUCUUCAUGACGUGUACACUCAGGAGGUGCCAGAUACACUUUAAACCUCACUGGAGUGCUGUUGCUUUUGAUGGCCACCUGCGUUGGUGAAGGUACAAGUGGGACAAUGGAGAGAAAAAAAGGAGAGAGCGUCAGUGAUGAUUCACCUGUAGCGCGAGCAAGCGGCAAGGGCGAUCAUCACCAGCCCCCUCAGCCCUGGCUCCAGUCACGCAUGCAGCCGUCGGGGGAAAGACUCUCACGUCGUGACCGUGGUCUUCCUCACUUUUCUCCGUUUCCUCGUUUCUUUCCCGAGCCACGAGGUGCACGCUCAAAAAGUGCAACAUUGACCAGGGUUCCUCCACCUGGAGCUUGUCAGCAAGGUGUCACCUCACCCAACAUUGGCUACACUUACAUGCUUCCCCUCGGGUCACGUCUCACAGCUUGUUGCUAGGCAGAAUUCGGGGCGUGCUCA